rnacentral:rRNA from 1 species
UAGGGAAUAUUGGACAAUGGGGCAACCCUGAUCCAGCCAUGCCGCGUGAGUGAAGAAGGCCCUCGGGUUGUAAAGCUCUUUUGUCCGGAAAGAAAAGCAUUCGGUGAAUACCCGGAUGUUCUGACGGUACCGGAAGCAUAAGCACCGGCUAACUUCGUGCCAGCAGCCGCGGUAAUACGAAGGGUGCAAGCGUUACUCGGAAUUACUGGGCGUAAAGCGUGCGUAGGUGGUUGUUUAAGUCUGAUGUGAAAGCCCUGGGCUCAACCCGGGAAUGGCAUUGGAAACUGGGCAGAUAAAGUGCGGUAGAGGGUAGUGGAAUUCCCGGUGUAGCAGUGAAAGGCGUAGAGAUCGGGAGGAACAUCUGUGGCGAAGGCGACUGCCUGGACCAGCACUGACGCUGAGGCACGAAAGCGUGG